rnacentral:rRNA from 1 species
UGGGGAAUAUUGGACAAUGGGCGCAAGCCUGAUCCAGCCAUGCCGCGUGAGUGAUGAAGGCCUUAGGGUUGUAAAGCUCUUUCAGUAGGGACGAUAAUGACGGUACCUACAGAAUAAGCACCGGCUAACUUCGUGCCAGCAGCCGCGGUAAUACGAAGGGUGCAAGCGUUACUCGGAAUUACUGGGCGUAAAGCGUGCGUAGGUGGUUGUUUAAGUCUGUCGUGAAAGCCCUGGGCUCAACCUGGGAAUUGCGAUGGAAACUGGGCGACUAGAGUGUGGCAGAGGUAUGUGGAACUCCGAGUGUAGAGGUGAAAUUCGUAGAUAUUCGGAAGAACACCAGUGGCGAAGGCGACAUACUGGCUCAUUACUGACGCUGAGGCUCGAAAGCGUGGGGAGCAAACA